GCACAAGCGGUGGAGCACGUGGUUUAAUUCGAUGCAAACCGAAGAACCUUACCUGGGUUUGACAUGUACGUGGUACGGAUAUGAAAGUUGAAGGACUCCGCUUUCGGGUGGAGAGCGUACACAGGUGCUGCAUGGCUGUCGUCAGCUCGUGUCGCGAGAUGUUGGGUUAAGUCCCGCAACGAGCGCAACCCCUGCAUUCAGUUGCCAUCGGGUGAAGCCGGGCACUCUGGAAGGACUGCCAUCGACAAGAUGGAGGAAGGUGGGGACGACGUCAAGUCAUCAUGGCCCUUAUGACCAGGGCUACACACGUACCACAAUGGCCGAUACAAAGGGCAGCGACACUGCGAGGUGAAGCCAAUCCCGUAAAAUCGGUCUCAGUCCGGAUUGGAGUCUGCAACUCGACUCCAUGAAGUUGGAAUCGCUAGUAAUCGUGGAUCAGCAUGCCACGGUGAAUACGUUCCCGGGCCUU
rnacentral:rRNA from 1 species